rnacentral:rRNA from 1 species
CAUGCCCCUUAUGUCCAGGGGUUCACACAUGCUACAAUGGCCGGUACAAAGGGCUGCGAAACCGCAAGGUGGAGCGAAUCCCACAAAGCCGGUCUCAGUUCGGAUCGGGGUCUGCAACUCGACCCCGUGAAGUUGGAGUCGCUAGUAAUCGCAGAUCAGCAACGCUGCGGUGAAUACGUUCCCGGGCCUUGUACACACCGCCCGUCACGUCACGAAAGUCGGUAACACCCGAAGCCGGUGGCCCAACCCUUUUGGGAGGGAGCCGUCGAAGGUGGGACUGGCGAUUGGGACGAAGUCGUAACAAGUGUAGCCGUACCGGAAGGUGCGGCUGGAUCACCUCCUUAAUCUAGAUGCAUCGCGAGUCGC